UCGGAACUUGGGGGGUUAGUUGGCAUAAAAUGGGGUCUUUUAUGAUAAUAAGGAAAAGAUGGAGGGUUUGGUGUGAAAACACCAAACCCUAUACCUGCUUUUAAUUCUCCCCAAACCACACCAGCCGCCUCCCCCUCACGCCCGCUGCCUCCAUUCUGCCCAGCCGGAGACGACCGGUCCACGGCUGGUGCCGCCGCCCCCACGGUCAGCGGCGACUGAUUUCCAGCCGCCGAUAUCUCCCUCGCGCCCCACGGUCCAGAGGCUGCCAGUCGGUCGACAGCCAUGGCCGCCGCUCUUGCGGCCCACGCCGGUCGGUUCUCGGCCACUGCCGAUCCAGUCGGUGUUGCUCCGAUCUGUUCCGAAUUUCCUCCACUUCGGUCCGCCAUUUUCCCUUUCGCAACCUUGGAAUUGUUUUCCCACCACUCUGGUGGGUUGCCUCUGCCGGCGGCGGUGUGUGGCGGUCGGACCUCAGGCCGCUGAGUAGGGCGGUGGGUGGCGGCGAGUCCGGCUCCGACCCCUCCCGAUGAUGAGGCGUCGAUGUCGGCGCGGUUGGUUGCCGGCUGCAAGAUUUGUAGUCGGGCGGCCUCCCAUCUCACUCUUGAGAAUGCCGACUCAGCUGAGGGAUUUGGGUAAGUUCGAUCCAUUCUGUGGAUUUGUUGAAUUGAUUCAUUUGAAUCUGUGUGGUUUAUGGUUUCUUCGAUCCAUUCUGUGGAUUUGUUGAAUUGGUUCAUUAUGAAGAAUUGGCUAGGAAUGUUUUUGGUUUUUGGAUUAUGAACGAUGAUGAUUCGUUUCUGAGUUCCUAUGGUUGAACCUGCUUUGAUACCAUGUUAGAACAUGGUAUUAUCAUAAUGUAUAGAGAAAAAAAAGAGAAGCAAAUGAUUGUUAUUGUAUUGCUUAAUGUUGUAUUUUUCUGAUUACAAUCAUACAUUUUUAUACUACAAAAGAUGAGAUGAUAGUCAUACAAGGAUCCCUACGAUUAAGGGAUUUUUGUUCAUUUUUGACUGAAGUUGGCUACUGCUUUCUCUGACUUUGUAUGCUGCCUUCUCUGACUUUGUAUUUUCAACAGCUUCUUCCUCAAGGAAUUGAGGUCGCGUCCAGGGCAGAAAUCGAUGGCGUAACCGACGAUUUUAUCGGGAUCACCACUCCAUGAAGCUUCGGCAGCACGGAUGAUCGAAGGAGCUCAGAAAUUCUCUCUCUACCGAGUUCUCCUGCAAUCCUCGCCGCCUUCGACCUUCUUUUCCGAUUUGAAGAUUCUAAGAUCGCUUUGAGCGCGAGCAGCUCCCCUCUCCGUCGCACGAGGAAAACCACGCCGUUGGCGCCGCGGCCAAUGGCUGAUAUACCUGGAGGCUCGACAGCUGUAGAGAAGGCGUAGCAUCGCCGCCGUGCAUGGCGGAGAUGGCUGGAUUUGAGUGAGAGAGAGAGAGAGAGGAGGAAGAGAAGGAGAUUGAUAUAAUAAAGUGACUAGUGUUUGUCAAAGUAUAUAUGCAUGGAUAAGAUACACUGCGUAAUGCGUUACACUUACCUAGCUCAGGGGCAAUUCACUUCCAAAAAUUUAAUUAUUAUUUAUUACUACAAAUUGAAGAAUUGUGAAUUAUUUCAUCCGUCUCACAAAAAUAUGAAUAUUUGUAAGUGACACAAAUUCUAAGAAAUAGUAUUAAAUAAAAUUGUAUUGUAAGUAGAAAAAAAGUUUCACCUUAUGAAAAAUAGAGAUAAAAAGGAAAUGGAUUGUGGUGAGGUAAUUUGUAAAAAUAGGAAUGUUUGUGUUUUUGUGAGUUUGAAGAGUAUUUGUUUUGUUUUGAGAAUUUUGUGGGUAUUGGAUUAAAAAGAUCUAUUAACUAUAGUAUUUUAAUGAAAGUUUUGUGUGAGAUCGUCUCUGAGAGUAGUCCAGACUCGGACCUAAAUCUAUAUAUUUUAUCAGCAUAUUUUUAAGUUCACACAAGUUUUUGCGUCCGAUCAAUGUUCAUGUUUAAUUCUGCAAGUGAUAGUUGUGAUGUAUUUUUAAUAAUAUUUCUAAUUAUCUAAUUUAAAUACUCAUGUAAUUUUUAUAUCUCAUUUAAAGUGUGUGUUUUAUGAUUUUUUUUUAAGUAUGAUAUAUUAUCCUUAAAAAAAGCUACACAUAUUGUUGUCUUAACAUAGUUGAAAUUUUCCCUCAAAAAAAAAAACAUAGUUGAAAUUUGAAGAAAGUAGUUUAUACACAUAAUUAUUAUUAAGUGUGUGCUAUUAUGUGGUGAUUAAAUUCUCAAUGAAGUACCUAAAAAACACUCACUGAAGUACUCCCUCCGUCCCGCGAGUCUUGACAUAUUUGGGUUCGGCACGGGAAUUAAGGAGUUGUAGAUUAGUACUCCCUCCGUUUUUUUUUAAGUGUCCCAUGGAAAAAAAGUACAGAUAUCAAGGAAGUUGGAGUAUUACUUUUAUGCCCAUAUUUAUUAUUUUCAAAGUGUAAUAUAUUUAUUAUCAAAUUUUGAAAUAGGACACUUAAAAAGGGGUAAAAUAGGAACUUUGUCAUUUUUUAUUCUCAAAUUUUGAAAUAGGACACUUAAAAAGAAACAAUAAAUUUAUAUUAAUAGGACACUUAAAAAAAACAGAGGGAGUAUUUUAAGUGUGUAAUUAAUAAAGUAUAAAAUUGAUAAAGUAGGAGAGAGAAGAUAAUAAAAGUGAUAAAGUAGGAGAGAUGAUAUAAUAAAGGUGAUAAAGUAGGAGAGAGAAUGUAAUAAUUAUUGCCAAAAAAGGAAACGUGUCAAGAUUCGUGGGACGGCCCAAAAAGGAAAACGUGUCAAGACUCGCGGGACGGAGGGAGUAUUCAAUUGUUUUCCUCAAAAAAAAAAUAUUCAUCUGUUAGGAUCCAGCCCAUACAUACCCAGGAUUUGGGCCUAAUUUAAACGGCCCAAUACAAAUUGUCGAUUUACCUUUAAAAGGCCCAAUAAAAUAAAUACAAAAUUAUUGUUUUCUCCAAGACUUCAAAAAUGAAAAAGUUAAAAUGUUGAAUAAAAAUACUUAAAACGAGUUUUGUGUUUUUUUUUUUUUUUGUUAAAAUUUGUUGGGAAAAUCUAAUAUUUUCCACCCCUAAAAAACGCCACGAAUCAUGUUAUUGUGGAUAACGUAGAGCCAACUACUUCCCUCUCCAAUAUAUAGCAACUCUUAAUUCUAACCAAAGAAAAAAUAAAACUUUUAAUAACACAAAUAAAAAUACAAAAGAAAAAAAAAAUACAGAAACAAACAGUCAUCAACAAUAUUAUCUGAAUCAAACAAAAUAAACACACACAAUUUUUUUUAAAAAAAAUCUCGAAAAUUCUCUCUAUUUUGUCAGAAGCUUUUCGACGCAGAAAUCCAUGGCGCACACACUCUCGUAGCCAACCCUUUUACUGUUUUCACGUUUGCUUUCUCACAAUGGAGGCUCGUGCACGACGUCGUUUAGCUCUGCUUUCCUCCCACGUGAACCCACUCGCAGAAACCCCGGGCACGGCGUCGUUUAGCUCGUUGAUGGCUUCCGCUUGCGCUAGCGGCGAUGACGGAGAGAAGGAGAUGAAGAAGGGAGGAAAUGAUUGUGUAUUUUGCAGGAUUAUUCUCGGCGAAGCUCCUUCUUUAAAAGUAAAGUUUCGAAUUCAGUGGAAGUGUUUGGAUUUUUUUUGUUGGUGACUAUUUUUUGGGAAUUUAUGCUUCCGUUGUUUGAUUGUUUCUUUUAUUUAUUUAUUUAUUGGCUUUUAUGUGUAGCAUUUAAUUUAUUUUGUUUGAUCAGUUUGGUUAGAAACUAGAAUUAUGGAAUUUGUAUUUGUUUAGGCUUAUGUAAGAAUUUAAUAAGGGGAAAUCCAUUACAAUUGUUGUUUUUAGAGGGAACAUGCCACAUUUUCCAGGAAAAAUGUGAUGGAAUGUGUAGAAAGGAUGUGAGAAUUGAUGUACAAAGUAUUAGCUAUGGAAUUCUUCAAGGUGAUGCUAUGGGUUUGGGGAUUGGGUUCAACAUGGAACUGGAAAAUUCAUCACAGUCGUGGUCUUUGUUGGUAGGGUUCUCGAGUGCAUUCUAGGAUGGACGUCGCGAAGGUACUAGCAUUGGCCAACUAGGAUUGGUUCCGGCCAAGCUAAAGUGUGUUGAGGCGAUUGGGCUGUUUUCUCAAUCUAUCUUUGGGAGUGAGUGAGUUGGAGAGAUCAAUUGACUCGUGUUUUGAGGUAGGUUGUGAGAUCAACAUAUACGGGGAGGUUGUGGUUGUGAAGUUUAGAUGACAGAUGCAUCUUUACGGAACGUAGUGUUGUUGUUUCAAUAAUAUUUAUAGAGGAGCUGUGUAAUCUAGCCAUCAAUUGGAUUUGAGGUUAGACGCUUUCAAGUUGUUUCGAAAGAUGGCAUUUCGCUGCAGAUGAGUAUGAUUUAGAACAAAUAAGGUAGCGAGAUGAGUGGAUUAUAAAAUUGUUUGUUCAGUAUCAAAAUCUGUAUAGUUUUGGUUCUGAAAUGCUGUCUUUUCUAUAGCCCGUUGUGUUUAUUCACAUUCCAUCAACUGAACCACGUCUGUGUGGAUUUGUUUCUCAGAACUUGUAACUGUGAAACUGCUGAAUUUACUCGACUUACAUUUUUAUGAAGUAAAAGAAGUACAACUAGACUUACAUUCUGAUGAUUGCAGUCUGCCUUUCGAAGUCUGAUUAUCUGUAACAUUGCAUUUUGGCUACAGUUAUAUGAAGAUGAUGAGUGCCUGUGCAUUUUGGAUACAUAUCCUCUAUGUCAUGGGUAAGGUAUCAUCUCCUGGAACUCCUCGUAUUUUUCUGGUCUCAUUAUUUUGUAGGCCGGGACUGCGAUUUGUUCGUCUGAAAUUCCCAUUUAAAUGGAAGACUAUUUUACACUUUUUCUAGGCACUCUCUUAUUAUUCCAAAGAGUCAUUAUCCUUCGUUGGACGCAACUCCUCCAUCGGUAAGUUUUCCUAUGUUGUCGUACUAAAAUUUCUCAUUAUCUAGGUUUAAUUUCCACACUUCCUAAUCUACAACACAUUCAAAGUUUUCAUUAUUUCCGGACAAAUAUGGAUAAAUUUUAUUCAUUUUUACCUGCCCCUAUGUGAACCUAUUCUAAUUGUCGAUUAUAAGGCUUAUACACGAGUAUCUAUACAAGAGAUUUAUGACUUAAAUUUUCAAGUGUAAUUGUCAAGCCAUAUUAGUCCUCGAACUAUGGCAUGAUUCCUCUUGCUGUUUCUAUUCUGUGCGAAGCUAAUUCAUCAUUCAUCCUCAAUUUUUAUAGCCUCCUUUCUUGAUCCUUUUCUAAACAGUGAGGAUUUAUACUUCAGUGCGUCUCUACCUCAAUAAAAUAUUCUCUUUUCCAGUUUAAGUGAGUAGCUUUUUGAACCAACAUAUGUUCAUCUUUACAAUGUGAGUAGUCAGAUUUGAUCUCUAUUCUUGCCUAGCUGUGCAAUUCUGUUCUCAACUCAAUAGAUUAUAGGAAACAAGAUGAUUUUAGGAUCUCACUAAGAAUGCACCAAGAGUAAACAUGAAUUUCACACUGUCUCAUGGCAACAAUGCUUAAUUCUGUUUAUUGGCUCACUUCACAGAUUAUAGGGGCCAUGUGUUCAAAAGUGCCUCUAAUUAGCAAUGCUGUCAUGAAAGUUACCGGUUGUGGUACGUUUUCUGCUAUAUCUUUUGCUCUGCUCCUCCCUCUCCAUGUCGUCAUUGUUGUUGUUGUUGGUGUUUUGGUUGUGGUAUGGCGUCUACAUGGGCAUGCACUUUGAUGGCCUUGGACAUACUAUCUGUUUUCUGCUACUCUAUGUCGAACCUACUGUUGAUUUUUCGUAAUAUAUCUGCCACAAUCGGGUAGUUUACCACUUCGACAUAUAAAAGAUUAUGACCAUAUACAAUUUGAUCAAUAAUGGGUGUUCACAGCAUGUCUUUUAGGGAGGUAUUUACUUUCAGUAUUAGAUGAUACUGACAAUACAUAUGAUUGAGUAUUUGAAGGAUUAGGCUCUCAAGAAAGCUCAAAAUUGUUCGAUCCAUCAAAAUAUGUAUUGAUGCCUUCUUUGUCUUGCUUGUGUCGAAUGUGGUCCUACUCGGCUCGUUGAAGUUGAUGCCUCGAACUUAUUUAUGCUUUACAAAAACUAUACGUGGCUGCUACCUCAGAAGAUUUUUUACCCUACAGAUUCAUUCAACUUGCUGGUCAACAACGGUGCAGCUGCCGGCCAAGUUAUAUAUCAUGUAAGCUCUAAUUCCCUUUUUCGAGCACUCAAUCUCAUCCGUUGUCGAAGAAGAUCCUACCCGUUCCUCGCCACAUGAUAUUUAUUAGAUCAGGAUUUACUGAUGCUUUUAGUAAUUUUCUGCUGCAUGCCAAGUUCAGACUCACAUCCACAUAAUACCCCGUAAAGCAAACGACUGCUUGUGGACUUCUGAGGUACUCUCUCUCUUCCUCUCUUUCUCUCUCUUCCUCUCUCUCUCAUAUCUGGUGAGUCAGUUGAUGGUGAAGAUGGCCUCUCUUGCAGUCCCUACGGAGGCGCCCAAUGAAGGUGGACCAAGAAGUCUCGCGGCUAGCAGACCGUAUCCGUGAAAGUUUGAUGUUUGUGAACAGCUACGAAGAUAGCAAAGGUCAAGGAUCGACCCUUGUGGCGAACUAGGUACACGUUCGCCCCCUGUUCUAUAUGUAUGCUAUGUGAAGGCCAGGGGGCUUAGCCCACUGGCCACCGGGUCCUCACUUAAGUGAAGUGACCCGGGUUCGAUCCCUCUUGGGAGCGAAUUGGAGAUUGGAGAUAUAAGGUGGAUUUGGUGAAUGGAGAGAUAAGGUGGUUCUUGGAGUGGAUGGGGAACUAAUUACUAACAUCUNNNNNNNNNNNNNNNNNNNNNNNNNUGAUCAGAGAAAAAAACUUCUAUUGUAGUUCAUCGGUUCGACUUCUCUGUUACAUUUUUUGUUACAUUUUUUUUUUCUCGUCGUUACGUCUCGUUUGGUUUAGAAUCCUUCGAAAUCUUCGUCUCCGACCUUCAUAAUUGAUAUGGUUCUAUUUUUCUUCGUGAUGACUCGAACCCUUCAUAAUCGAUAUGGUUUCUUAUUUUUUCUUCGUGAUGACUCGAACCCUUAACUCAGUGCUCUACUUUUCUUCUUUCUUUCUUUCUAUAACUUUUUACAAUUUUGUUUGAUUUUCUACUUUUCCGUCGAUAAAUUUGUUGAAAUCCCCUAUGAUGGGCCGCCACGUGUUCAUUAAGCAUAUAAUAUACUUUUAUUACUUUUUCUUACUUAAUUACUUUUUUUACACCGACAAAUGUAAACAUGUCACAUAUAUUGUGGCAUAUGGCCAUAAUGGACGCAAAAUUGAAUGAGUUUAAUCCUAAAUGUGACAGAAUUACUAACCUCUAUUAAUCUAGUCACAUCGUUAUAUAAGCAACUUGACAAAACAAAGGAGUUAUAAUCUAUUUUGGAUUUUGACAUAUACUAAUACAAGAUAAUAAUUUAUGAGGCAUUUGCAAAAAUGCCCUUUUUUUAUUAAACUACUUGUAAAAUGCCCUUUUUCACUUAUGAAAAGGGAUAUUUUACUAAGUGUUUAUAAGAAAAGGGCAUUUUUGCCUAUUAACACAUCUUAAAAACGCUGGCUGCAGAGACUUUUAUGAGAUCGGCUCUAUCGGCAAAUUUCUUUGUUCAUGCAUUUAAUCCAAUUUCCUGUUGCAACCUGAAUACAAAUUCAUGCAUGCACAAAACAAAAGCCUUUCAAAAGCAGCCUCCUAAUUCAUAAAUGGCUGCAAAAAGCAGAUGAGGCUUCAAAUUGGGAAAAUUCCUAUUAAAAAAUUAAAAGGGACGUACACGUUUGACUGUACAGCCCUUUCAGGAAAUUCAACGUUUUUUUUUCCUCUUUGAAAUUAGGAAAGUCAACGUUAAUCGACCCAAAAUGAUAAGUAAAUAGAAGGCCCAUGUUUAUUUCAUUUUGCAAAUUAGCCACCACCCACCGACCUUAUACUUUGGAUAACGUUAUAUUUGUAUAAAAUAUCUUAUACUUUAGAAAAUUUAUAUACACACUUGCUAAGGGACACCAAGCUGUGCGACCUUCUGUGUGUGAAUGAUGAGAUCCCGGGUUCAAACCCCAUUGUUCUCCCCUCCCUACCUACCCUCCUAACGUAAAAAAAACGUAAAAAAACUCUUUACGUUAAGUAAGUAGUAGUUACUUACGUUAAAGUUAAACUUAACCCCGUACCCCCGUAACCUUAAACCNUUUCUCUAUCUAAAAAAUAUUUUCUCUCUCUACCUUAUAAGCUCAAUUAUUCAAACACUUUGACAAUUUUUAUAUUCUUAAAAAAUACAUUUUAUAAGCUCUUGAAACAUCUUAUAAAUUCCAAGAGCUUAUAAGCUCUUUAAAAUAAGUUUAGCCAAACGCCCUCUUAGUUGAAAUCCCCUACGAUGGGCCGCCACGUGUUCAUUCAGCAUAUACUAUAGUAAUAAAUACUUUUAUUACUUUUUCUUACUUAAUUACUAAUUUUUUUUGCCGACAAAUGUAAACAUGUCGCAUUAUUGUGGCAUAUGGCCAUAAUGGGCACAAAAUUGAAUGAGCUUAAUCCUAAAUGUGACAGAAUUGCUAACCUCUAUUAAUCUAGUCACAUCGUUACACAAGUAACUUGACCGAAAGAAGGAGUUAUAAUCUAUUUUGGAUUUGAGGUGGUAUUGGAUACGAUCGAGUGUACCGUACAAUUGGGUUGCACUCUCACUUAGACAUUAACCCGUACCCUGAUUUGAAUUUGUAUUCCGAUUCGAACCUUAUAAAUAAUAUUAUUUUAAAUGCAGGUCAACUCGAUUGUACGGUACACUAGAUUGUACCCAAAUUUUUGUGUUUGGAUUUUGACAUAUGCUAAUACAAAAUAAUAAUUUAUCUAGUUUGAGCAUCUAGAAAGUUCCUUCUAUAAUUUGUAAUAUCAAAAUGAAACUCGAUAUCAAGUUUCUAUUAGUUAAUAAAGAAAAUAUGAAUUAUUAUAUUAAAUAAUUACUGAAUAGAAAAAUCAUCAUUACUAAAUAGGUAAAUAACCAUCUAAUGGAGAAAAAAUCGGAGAUAUGAGCAUGUACUAAUCUAGUGGUAGUGAUUAAAUGUUAAGAAUAAAUAUAUUUCAUUUGAAUCCACGGCACGACUUUAAAAAAAAUAUUUAUUCGAAAAAAUUAGUAGAAGAUAUAUUUCCACAUCAAAAUGUAAAGUCCUUAUUUGGUCAACGUCAACUCUGAUAUACUUCAUUCGUGCCAUGAAGCAUGACACACUUCUUUUCGGCACGAGAAUUAAGAAAUUUGUAUUUUGUGUGUUAAGUAUAGUAGGUGAAAAAGUGAAAAUGUGAAUAAAGGGUNGGAAUCUUGGAUUUGUGGGAUUUGAUCUGCUGCCCGAAAAAAUCUUGGUCAUUUUAGUUUGACUUGGUUUCUUCAAUAUUUUCACUUGAGAUGUGAAGACGGCAGCGGGAGGGAGAGAGAGAGAUCAACGAGAACAGAGACAGAGAGAGAAAAAAGAGAAUAAAUCAACAAAACAAUAGUGAUCGCCUAAUUUAAGAUUAGUAAAAGUAAUCUAAUCUAUUAACCAUUACCCUUUUAUUUCAUCCACAUCACUUUUUUCAGUUUUCUUAGUCUCCGUGCCCACACCAAAGUGGGGCACUAAUUUGUGGACGGAGGGAGUAUUAAAUAAUUACUGAAUAGAAAAAUCAUCAUUACUAAAUAGGUAAAUAACCAUCUAAUGGAGAAAAAAUCGAAGAUAUGAGCAUGUACUAAUCUAGUGGUAGUGAUUAAAUGUUAAGAAUAAAUAUAUUUCAUUUGAAUCCACGGCACGACUUAAAAAAAAUAUUUAUUUAAAAAAAAUAGUAGAAGACAUAUUUCCACAUCAAAAUGUAAAGUCCUUAUUUGGUCAACGUCAACUCUGAUAUACUACAUCCGUCUCAUGAAGCAUGACACACUUCUUUUCGGCACGAGAAUUAAGAAAUUGGUAUUUUAUGUGUUAAGUAUGGCAAGUGAAAAAAGUGAAAAUAUAAAUAAGGGGUAAACUUUUUGUCAUUUUUAAAAAUGUGUCAUGCUUCGUGGGGCAGAUCAAAAAAGAAAUUGUAUCAUGCUUCGUGGGACGGAGGGAGUAAUUCCUUAUUUUAUGGGCUGGAAUCCACGGCAUGACUUUAAAAAAAAUAUUUAUUUAAAAAAACUAGUAGUAGAAGAUAUAUUUCCACAUCAAAAUGCAAAGUCCUCAUAUGGUCAACGUCAACCGAUAUAAUUCUUAUUUUUGGGCUUGGACAAAAUGCCUUAUCCAAUAAUGCAAUGCAACUAUUCAUAGCAUUUCUUAUUAACAAUUAUCUUUAAAUCAUCCAAUCAAAUUUAAAAUUCGAGGCAUGUCAUGUCAGCUUCUUAUAUUUAAGGAAUUAUUUAAAUGUGAAUAUGAAUAUUGACCAACCUGAUAGACUAAUUUAACUAAAGUAGAAAAUUAUAGAGCCAAUUUCUUUCUAAUAGUAACUCAAAUAUCGUUCCGAUUCUGGGUCCAAUUAAUGGAAUUUUAUUAAUUCUAGAUUAAUCAGCUCAUUUCGUUUUCGGUUUUGUCGCAAUUGAUUUUGUUGCUAUGUCUUGAAUUUUCUAACGGUAUGCAGGUUUGGGCUUUAGGCCCAAUUUGAGUGUUUUAUCUUAGCACUAUAUAUAUAGUUGAUAUCUGUAAUAUGUAAUCCUAGCCGUCACGUAAAUCUGUGUCUUUUUUAAGUUUCUGUUUGAUUGUGCUCUUUAAUCCUAUUCCGUCACAACAGAUUUUAUCUUGUAAUCAAAAUGUCUCUUAUACGAACAAAAGAAAAAGGAAAAGUGUUUUACAAAACACAACAAUGAUUCUUCACGUGAGACAUAACUCAGAAAUACGAAACGUCAAUAAAUUAUUAGCAAUUUAGCAUGUUCAAGCUUUCUUUGAUCGAGAUAUAAAUUUUGUAAAAUUAUGUUUCGUUAAAUUCGAAUUUGAGAUCAUUAAUCACAUCAUUAAUCACUCACACACACACACAAUUUUUGUGUUUAUUUUAUUCCGCCAUGGCUCCUUGUGAUUUUUGAAAUUAUGCUCCUAGUAAUUUCAUUCUUCCAUAUUUUUUUUUGUCAUUUUAUAAAAAAAGUGGGAGUAAAAGUAAACAAAAGCCCAAAAAAAUUGACGGGAACGGGAAAGUAUAGAUUUGAAUUUAAAUAAAAUAAAUAAACAUUUAUGAAGCAAAAAAAUUUAUUCCUACUAAUUUAUUUUACUACUUCCACACCCAACUCCUCUAUUACCCAGAGAAUUGGCAAUAGCAAAAUCAGGAAAUCUCUCGAUCCACGCAAUUUCCUUCCUCUUCAAUACAGCGCCAAUUCCUUCACAUUUCCUCUCUCCUUCAUUUUCCCAAAUUCCCCUCCGUUUCUUCUUUUUCAAUUUCCCCCAAUUUUCUGAUAGCGCACAUUCACUUGUAGAGAGAGAGAGAGAGAGAGAGAGAGGAGAGGCGGAGAGGAUAGGGAAGAAGAGGAAAAUGUCGCCAACAAUGGUGGCUAAACAAGCCGAGCAACUGAGACAAGACGGUAACACGUACUUUAAGAAAGAUCGGUUGGGUGCCGCAAUUGAUGCUUAUACUGAGGUAGGUUUUGUUGAUUGAUAAGCUGAUUACUCUUUUUGUGUGUGUGUGUGGUAGCUAAAAACAUUGAUUCUUCUUAGGCUAUUGCGUUGUGCCCUAAUGUUCCGGUGUAUUGGACGAAUCGGGCUCUUUGUCAUCGCAAGCGGAAGUAUGUACGAUCACUGAACUCAUUUCUGAGUUCCUUUUUUUCGUUUUGUUUCCACCUUUCCGGUUUCUAUUUGGAGAAGAUUUCGUUUUGUUUCUUUUCUUUAUUCAGUUUUUUUGGUGCAGUGAAUGGGCACGCGUGGAGGAGGAUUGCAGGAGAGCGAUUCAGCUCGAUCACCACUCUGUAAAGGUAUGAUAUUAGGUAAACACUGUGGAACAUUCUUAUUGGUUUCGUCGCCUUUUUUUUCCUUAUUCUUUUCGUUGUUUAUUUGUCAUCGUAUGAUCUGUUUCUGUUGCGUAGCUUGUAAUUUCUAUUGGGGGAUUUAUCUGACAUUUACUAUUUAUGCUAAGGUUUAUGUGAAUCAUUGAAAUUGAAAGAGUGUGUCUGAUUACAGAUGAUUGGAUGUUGAUGGCCAAGUAGCAUUGAAUUUAGUUAUUUGAUAUUCCAACCUGUUUCUGUUGAGUUGAAUGACUGGGAAUGCUAAAGAGAUUCUCUAUGAUAUUAGUCAAUCUCAGCUAUAGUAUUGCUAGAGAUACGUGGAAUAGAAUUCAUUCCCGAUGAAGUGUUGCUGGAACCUUACCAUUUUCUUUUCCUUAAGGCAUUAUGGUUUGUUCCCUUCCGAAUGUUGAUGUUUUCUAGUAGAAAUAGUUUACAUGGUCUUUCACUCUAUAUGCUUGUUUUGAUUGGAGUGUAUUAGUCCAACUUGUAAGUGGUAAAAUUGUUGAGCGAUUCCGUUGUCUUUUAGUUGCCGGCCUAUAGUUGAAUGUAUUAACCCUCAUAACUCAUAAGCUUUAGAUGCUAAAGUGUAUGUACGCAUGCUGUUUUCUUAUUUUGUUAACUUUGUUAUCAUCCAGCAAACAUAAUUGCUCUCAUCUGUCUUUGGAUGUUAUGGAAACCUUUCUUUGUCGUUUUGGAUUAUAGUCGUUGCAAACCUGAAAUGUAAUGAAACGUGAUUGCUUAAAUGAAAUUUGAAGUAUUUCACAGAACUUCUAUAGUGAUGCAACUAUUGAAAAAUUUAAUCUUGAUCUGGAUGUAUUUGACAUUCCUGAGAUGUCAUGUGCAUAUUCAGUACUUCAAGUUACACGUUAUUGAUCAUUUGAUCUAUAUGUUAGGUUGCAAGCUAGAACUUUUAACAAUGAGCUUGCAAGUGCUUCCUUUCACAAUAUUUGUCUUCGUUCAAGCAUGAGUUUUUUUAAAAUGUCUUGGAUGAAUAUCAGCCAUAAGUUGAGAUUUAUUUGCUGCUAAAAAUGUAUAGAUACUAUUCUAUAUUUUUCUAUUAAAAAACUCACUAACUAUAAUUACAACUAACUUUGGAUGCCUUUGCAUUUCAGGCACACUAUAUGCUUGGUCUUGCUCUGCUGCAAAAGAAAGAAUAUGCGAAAGGUGUGAAGGCAUUAGAGAAGGUAUGAGGGCAUUCCUUUCUGAGUUUUCUUUAUUUCAGUUCCCUUAAAUCUGCACAAAUAAGUGAGAACUCUCUUUUCUUGAAGUCCAAGCUGGACAAGGUGACUGGUGUUAGUUUGUUGUUACGUGUUCUCUAAAUUGUGCUAUGGAUUGUGUGGAAAAAUCUGUAUUUGUAUGCUUGCAUGUGUUUCAUGUUCACUAGUAAAUCUUGUUCACAAGUGUUUAGAUAUUACAUCAUCAAGAUAUGUCAAGAUGAAAUGAUGUGACCAAUAUACGCCAUUAUGAUUAUUGUUAUUUGGAUUGUUGGGCUUUUGUUGAAAAUGAUGUUUGGUUGUUCAUGAUGCAUGAUGUAACUCUCAGGCAUUGGACCUUGGCAGGGGUGCGAACCCCCAAGGAUACAUGGUAGAAGAAAUAUGGCAAGAGCUCGCAAAAGCAAAAUACUUGGUUUGGGAGCAUGAGUCUACCGAGCGGUCUUGGGAACUUCGGAACUUAAAGUAAGUUCGAUCUUUGUCUUUCCCCUUUUUUUUUGUUUCCAUUCUUAAAAUUUCUCUAUGUUGUGUUUACUGUAUAUCAUGAUGUCUGUUUCCUAUGAUGACAUUGAUUAGCUUACCACAUGUUGUCUUUAAGUGCAUUUCUUACUGUGCGUAUAUGUUGAGCAGACAAGCUUGUGAAGCAGCCUUGAUAGAGAAACGAAAUCUGAUGCUUCUGAAAAAGAAGGUUUUGUCGAUGAAAUUGACCAGUCUUUUUUAGAUCAAUUGAAAGCCUUGAACCUAGUAUUCAAGAAAGCUGCAGAAGAUGAUACCCCAACGGAGGUGAGCAUUCAGUGUCUUUGUGUGUUCAUAUGAUUACUUUUUUCUUGAUUUUUCAUGACACCAGUUACAUAUUUCAGGUGCCAGACUACCUGUGCUGUAACAUCACUUUGGACAUUUUUCGUGAUCCUGUAAUUACUCCAAGUGGGGUGACAUACGAAAGAGCAGUAAUCCUAGAUCAUCUACAAAAGGUGACUUAUCGCAUCUCUCAGUUCACCUGAUCAUAUUUGCCAUCGUACACAUGAUUUUGACUUCAAAUUUUCCAUGUAUUAGGUGGGAAAAUUUGAUCCCGUUACCCGUGAGACACUACAUCCGUCUCAGUUGGUACCAAAUCUGGCCAUAAAAGAAGCUGUGAGAGCAUACCUGGAGUUGCACGGCUGGGCCUAUCGGAUGGAUUGAAGCUGUUUUGGUUCUUCGAUUUGUUCAUGUAAGUAUUUGUUGCGUCUCUCCAGCAGUACGGGGAUAACAGAUUCGUAAUUCUUACUUUAGUUGAGCACGUUAGAACAACCUAAAGUCUAUCAAUCAUUGUGUCCAUUGCAUAACAUAGAUAUCCAAUUUCAUUAGUGGCAGAUUAGAGGCUUACAUAGUUCAUCAUUUUCGAAUGUAUAGUCACCAGAACCGAACUUGUACAGUGUUUUGUCGCAGACUUUUCCUUGGAGACGAAAAUCUUGUUUUGUUGCCUCCUCGAGCUAUUCCUACUCUCAGAUGUUCUCCUGUUGCGGCUAAAGUUUGAAAUGAAAAUCUUGCAUCUUAUCUUAAAUUAUGCUAUUUUUGGUGUGAAACAUAGUAUGUCUUUUCGAUUUUACUUGUUUCGCCUCUUAUUUAUGGGUGCUCACUAGCUAGCUCGACUUUGAAUUGAAGGCGUUAGUGAGAUUCGAACUUGUGACCUUCGUCGGGAGCUAUUCCCCACUCAGAUGGCAUUUCUGUUAUUUGGCUCUAGUUUGAAGAAAUAUUCCAUCUGAUCUUGAGUUAGGCUAUUAUGUGACUCUACUUUACAAAUAUAUUUUAGUGGCAAUUUUGCUGGUGUUUGUAAUUAUAAAUAUGCCAUUGAUAUUAGUUUUAAGUCGAAUCUUGACAUCCUCAACUUUAGGUGAUUCCAUAAUGUCGAUAUCAAUGAUGAUUCAUUUUUGUUGAUAUGUUAAUAGUGACACAUUAUGUCAAUGAUGCUAUUGUAGGAAGACAAAUAAAGUGUAGCCAUAAGUUUGAAAUUUUGGGCUUUGGUGGAUAGAUAAAGAGAGAAUUUUAAAUUAUUUAACAUGACUUAAAGCUGUCAUGGACAACUUUAUUUUGGCUGCAUUUGAUUGUCAAUUAUAAUUCCACUAUAUUCCAAGAUUUUAUACUAAAUAAAUGUCUUGUAAGUAUAUAAUUUUAAGACUAGUGACUGAAUAGAGAUGUCUAAUGUUAUGAUCAGAUCAAAUUAAUUUGUUUGUUUGAAUUCGGACCAAAAUAUUUGUUCAUACGAUACAUUGAUUUAAUCAUAAAAGUAUUAGUUUAUUUGUUGUUUUCUCACACAUUUUUCAUCCUUUAAAUAUUUAGCAUUUUUCGUGAUACAUUGAUUUAAUCAUAAAAGUACUCCCUCCGUCCCAAUAAAAGUGGCCACUUUUUUUUGGGCACGGAGAUUAAGAAGGGGAUUGUUAUGUUUUAAUUGAGUGUGACCCACCAAAAUUAGUGAGUAAUUUUUAGAAAGUGGCCUACAAUUGUUGACCAAAUUAGUGAGUAAUUUUGACAUUUUUAGAAAGUGGUCUACAAUUGUUGACCAAAUUAGUGAGUAAUUGUUGACUUAAUUAAAGUAAACUUUUGCCAUUUUUAGAAAGUAGCCACUUUUAAUGGGACAUCCAAAAAGGAAAUGUGGCCACUUUUAUUGGGACGGAGGGAGUAUUAGUUUAUUUGUUAUUUUCUCACACAUUUUUCAUCCUUUAAAUAUUUAGCAUUUUUCGUGGAGCAUUUCUCUCUUCUAAUGAAUAGAAAUAAAUGUUAGUAGACUACUGUCUAAAUUUGUUAUAAUACAUAUUCAUUAUCUCCUCCAAAAUUAUUUAUUUUACGUAAAAUAGACGCCACACGUUCAAUCUAUAAAGGCAUUUUUUUUUAUAUUAUGAUAGCUCAAAUUGAGCUGUUUAUGUAUGAAGUAAGCCACGUGAAAAUAUUUCAACGGUAUGUGAUUUGAUUCCUUUAACUCACAGACAAAUCCAAAACAACCUUUUUUCAUGAUUCACAUAAAAUUCACGCAACUACUAAAUUCCCAUGUGCUCAAUUACAAAUCACACAAUCCACAAUAAUAAUAAUAAUAAUAAUAACUUCGUUCUAUUACAAAUGUUUCAUUAUUUUGGGCUCGAGGAUUAAGAAAUGUGAACUUAAUAGAUAAAGUGUGUUAAUAAAAACUAUUUAAAUAUUAGGUAUAGAGAAAGAAUAUGUAGCCAAAAAAUAAAUGAGACAUUUAUAAUGGAACAGAAGAGUAAUAAUUUACCAAAAUUUACGUCUAAUCAUGAUAUUCGAGUUUGAACCUAGAACUAGACCACUCUUUAUUAUACAGAAGAAAGCAAACAAAUUCGGAAAAGGCCCUCAAAGCAAGAUCAUUACUAUUUACCAAGAACUAACUAGUGCUAACACUAAGAUCAAAUCUCUUCCUAGAAGCAUAAUAUAAACAAGAAUUCAAUAUAUAUGUAUGGAAAAGAUAGGUGGUGAAGAAUUUACAGAAAUUUGCUGCAGGCUCAAUCGAUCAAUCACGAGGUGUAGGUGAGAUUCGAACUUCGUCUCAUUCUCUCAAGAAUGCCACUGGCUUUCCUCUUAGCUCUAGAUGUGCCAUCCUCGGCGAGCUGCGAUAUCGUGCGAUGAGUCGCCUCCUCGUCCCUCAUCACCUUCAGCUUGGACCGAUCGCUGCAACAGACGUUGUAGAGAAUGGCCGCGCAGUUCUCCUUGUUGCGCGCGCAAGACGUCUCCCUCAUUAUGCCGAGCAGGCAGGGGACUGCCCCGAGCUCGCCCAUCUCCUCGAUCGCCCUCUGGCUGGUCGAGAGCAUAGCGAGGAUCGACAGCAGCUCGUCCACGUGGAUCCUGCUCUCGAGCUUCUUCAAGAUCACGGGCACCGCCCCGUUCUUAACGGCCCUCGCCUUGUUCUCGAGGAUGAUGCAGAGGUUGAAGAUUGCCGAGGCGACGUCUUUCAUCGUCGACGGAUGCCCCUCGUCCAAUAGGUCAAUGAGGGGCAUCAGCGCGCCGGAUUUCCCGAUCAGGGCCUUGUUUGAGUCGAGGGCCGAUAACGUGAAGAGGGUCGCAGCGCAUUGCUCCUCGUCUCGAUGGUUCCCGACCUCAACGCGUCCAUGAGGAGAGGUAUGACUGUUGGGUCUCCACAACGAGCUUCUUGUUGUUGUCGUGGAUGGAGAGGUUCAAGAGAGUCGUGAUCAGGUCCUCUUGGAGGUCCGGGUGAGGCUCCCCGUCGUGCUUCGUCUGGGAGAGCGGAGACAGCAGCUGAGGUAUUGCAUCGAGGGAUUCGCCAAAGAGGGCGCGGAAGGAAGGGGUUCGCUUUGUCAGGAGACGAAACUCCUUGGCCGCUUCCCUCUGAUCCAACCGGAAGCAGACGACAUUUUCUUGAGCAACGAGAGGAAACGAGCCCGAUCAACCUCUGCCAACGGCUCCUCGUUGGUGUAAUCGACGGAUUCUGGCAACUUGAUGCCGUGCAUUUUGCACCAUUGCACGAUCAUGCCCCGAAUCAAGUGGUUCGGGGUGAGGAUCGUGUGCGAAAGCACCUGCUGCGUUCGAGGGCAGGUUCGGUUCCCUGAUUUCAACCAUUUCUGAAUGAAUGGUCUAUCAAAUGUCUGCAAAUUUUUGCAGGAAGAAAUGUAAACAAUGCCAGCAGAAACAUUAUCAAGUAAAUUUAGACCAAAAUAAUAAGAAUUUCUAGCGCUGCAGUUUAUAAACAGAUAAAAUCAAAAUGAAAUCACUUUUAGCAUUACAUCAAACUUUUUACCAAAUUACAGAACAAUAUCCACAAACACCAUAUGCAGGAGAGAGAGAGAGAGAGACUCAACAAGCAAGAAACCAAAAUAUAGCCUUUUAACAAAUUACAGAACAAUAUCCCCAACAAUCACCAUAUGCAAGAUAGAGAGAGAGAGAGAGGGCAUCAACAAGCAAGAA
rnacentral:lncRNA from 1 species